rnacentral:lncRNA from 1 species
CCCGCCCCCCCCCCCACCCCCAAUAAACCCACCCANNNNNNNNNNNNNNNNNNNNNNNNNCGUGACCCUCCCCCCUCCCCCCAUCAUUAAUUAAGUCUUUAUUAAUGAAUCCAUUAAUUGGCUGGGAGGGAUUCGGGGUCUUUUCCUUACCCCCCCCCCUUCACCCCAUUUAAAUCAAUGGGGGGGGAGGGGGGGACGUUGCACGAGGGUUUUUUGCACGAGGACGUUGCACGGCUGGGCCUUGCAAUGGGGUGGUGUUGCACGAGGGGCUGGUCUUGCACGGGGGCUCCUUGUUGCACUUAUAUGGUCUGUUGCACGAGGAUCCGUGUCUUGCACGAGAGCUGUUGCACGAGUGGGUCUUUCUUGCACACGUCGUGUCUGUUGCACGAGGAUCAUGGUCUUGCACGAGUGCUUUUGCACAAGGGUUGUCCGUGUGCACGAUGGUCUUGCACGAUGUGGCCCCCCCUUGCACAAGGAGUCAUGCACGAGGAGUCGUGCACAAGCUCUUGGUAUCCUCGUGCACAAUGUUGGUGCACAACAGGACCCCUUCUUGCACAAGGGCUGUUGCACAAAUGGGACUUUGUUGCACGCGUAGUGUCUGUUGCACGAGGAUCAUGGUCUUGCACGCGUCUUGUACAAGGGCUGGUGCACGAGACCCAUUGCACGAGGAUCGUGGCCUUGCACGAGUGAUGCUGCACAAGGGAUGUUCGUGUGUACAAUGUUGGUGCACCCGUCUUGUACACCACUGUGCACAAGAGCUCGUGCAAUGGGGCUCGUGCACCAGCCCUUGUGCAAGAAGUGUCCUGUUGUGCACCAAUAUUGUUCACAAGGACCCCUUCUUGCACAAGGGGUGGUGCACAAGUCCCAUUGCACGAGCUCUCGGUGCCCUCGUGCACAAUAUUGGUGCACAAAUUGCCCCCUUCUUGCACAAGGAGUGGUGCACAAGUCCCAUUGCACGAGCGUUUGUGCACGAUGGUGUCCUCGUGAAAAAUAUUAGUGCACAACGGGACCCCUUCUUGCACAAGGGCUGGUGCACAAGUCCCAUAGCACAAGGUCUCGGUGCCCUCGUGCACAAUAUUGGUGCACAAAUUGCCCCCUUCUUGCACAAGGAGUGGUGCACGAGUCCCAUUGCACAAGCUCUUGUGCAUGAUGGUGUCCUUGUGAACAAUGUUGGUGCACAACGGGACCCUUCUUGCACGAGGGCUGGUGCACAAGUCCCAUUGCACAAGGUCUCGGUGUCCUCGUGCACAAUGUUGGUGCACAAAGGGCACCCGUCUUGCACAAGGGGUGGUGCACAAGUCCCGUUGCACGAGCUCUUGUUCACAAUGUGCCCUCGUGCAAAAGAGGGGGUGAACAAAGAUCCCUGUUCUUGCACAAGGGCGACUGCACAAUGCCCCCUGUUUUUGCACAAGAGCUCGUGCAAGAGCCUGUUGCACAAGGGGGCACCUCUUGUGCAAGCAGGCUGUUGCACGACGCCUUUGUGCAUGCACCUCUUUAGUGUUGCACGAGCCCUUUGA